rnacentral:rRNA from 1 species
CAGUUCGGAUCGGGGUCUGCAACUCGACCCCGUGAAGUUGGAUUCGCUAGUAAUCGCGUAUCAGCAAUGACGCGGUGAAUACGUUCCCGGGCCUUGUACACACCGCCCGUCAAGCCAUGAAAGUUGGGGGUACCUAAAGCAUGUUACCGCAAGGAGCGUGUUAGGGUAAAACCGAUAAUUGGGGCUAAGUCGUAACAAGGUAGCCGUACCGGAAGGUGCGGCUGGAAUACCUCCUUUCUAGAGC